GGCAGAAAUAUCAAGAAAAUAUCUUUGGUCAGCCAGUAUGCUAGCCUCUACUUCUGUCACAUUUUCUAAGUCCUCUUCCAGGUAUUAUUACCUUCUUGUCGGUAACAUCCUUCCUGGAACCCCAGGGAUAAGCAAUGAUGUGACCACUGAUCCUCCUUUCCCUCCCACCUCUUUGAGAACUUCAGACAAUUUAAAAAGAAUAAAUGGUGACUGAACAUAGAUAACCCUCUGGGAGAGAAUUCUACAGAGUUCUCUCCGACCUCAUAAUGCAGCGUUCUAGUUGAGAAUCCACAAGGUGAAAUUUCCAUAUUCAGCACACAUUCCUUGUCCUGUCCAACCUUUGGCUCAUAACUUGUUACUUUUCAUGUAUUUGUGUAUUUGCCCCCCUUACCAACCUCCAUGAGACGGGAAUUCAUCUUUAGAUCGCCGAUAGGGCCGGGGGCAGUGGCUCGCGCCUGUAAUCCCAGCACUUUGGGAGGCCAAGGUGGGUGGAUCACCUGAGGAAUUUGAAGAGUUGUUAUGUCAUCUCAUCUCAAAAUCAUCUCCAAGGAAAGCUACCCCAGCAUUUUCUAUCACCUAUAAUAGUACCUGGAUGUGGUUUUCAGACUCUUCAACCUCCUGGUUACCCUCCUAAAAGCACUUCCUCUGCCUCAGUGUCCCACUUAAAAAGUGUGUGACUUGGAAUUGGAUACAGCACUUCAGAGCAAUGGGCAGUGGGACUACCCCGAUAUUAUAUACACAGAGAAAAUAUUUA
rnacentral:lncRNA from 10 species